CGGUUAGCUCAGCGGUAGAGCGUCUGCCUUACAAGCAGAGGGUCACAGGUUCAAAUCCUGUCAUCC
rnacentral:tRNA from 1 species